rnacentral:rRNA from 1 species
CACGUAGGAGGCGAGCGUUGUCCGGAAUCAUUGGGCGUAAAGAGCGCGCAGGCGGCCCGGCAAGUCGGGUGUGAAAUCCCGGGGGCUCAACCCCCGGGACUGCAUUCGAUACUGCCGGGCUAGAGGUAGGUAGGGGAGAUCGGAAUUCCUGGUGUAGCGGUGAAAUGCGCAGAUAUCAGGAGGAACACCGGUGGCGAAGGCGACCACCUGGACUGAUACUGACACUGAGUGCGAAAGCGUGGGGAGCAAACAGG